GAUUGAACAUGUCUAUUCUCGUCACAUGCUCAGAGACAUAUCUUGCCAUGAAAGGAAUCUGGACUUGAGGCUGGAUCUGUGCACCAAAAGAACUGUAACUACUUUUACUGAUGAUGACUUGGAAAGCCUCAAAUUUUUGAUAAAUUCUGCUAGAUGUUAGGCACCCAAUAAAAGAGAGUUUGAACAAGUUCCCUCGAAGGACUAGUACACCAUCUGGGGUUCACAGUCAAGCACAACAAGCUGAAGAACAGCUACAACAUCAGCAACAAUAGCAUCAUCCAAACUCUAGUUUGAAGUAAAAAAUGUUCAAGAUUAUAAAAUUUUAUUAUGUUAAGCUUUCAAAUUUAAGUUAGAACUAAGAUCUCAUGAAGUAGAUACAUUCAUGGUUUGAAUUAGUUAUUGUUUAAUGUAAUACUUAUGGUUUAUCAAUC